GAAUAUCAAUGUUCAAUUAGACAAUGAUAUUGAAUUCCGAUCCAAUUUUUGUGAACAUCUUUAUCGUUAUGUAGACUUUAAUUCAACGUUAACAAAAAAUAUAACAAUGUUAUUAAAAAUCUGUAUAACGCGCGAUGUAGCAAUUACAUAUACUGCAACUAAAAUUAUGCAUGGCAAGAAAAUAAUAAAGGAUGAACCAUUUUACACAUGUAUAGAAGAUAUAUUUCUUCAAAAAGAAUUUAAAGGAGAAGUUGUAUCAAGAAAUCAUCUUAUAAAGGCAUUGAGCGCAGCACUUUCUAAUGCAAAGGAC